AGCCCAGACCGUCAGCUAAGGUCCCAAAAUAUAGGUUAAGUGGAAAAGGAUGUGGGGUUGCACAGACAGCUAGGAUGUUGGCUUAGAAGCAGCCAUUCAUUCAAAGAGUGCGUAAUAGCUCACUAGUCGAGUGACCCUGCGCCGAAGAUAAACGGGGCUAAAACCUAUUACCGAAGCUACGGAUACUUAAUGUAUGGUAGAGGAGCGUCGUAUACGGGUUGAAGCAGUACUGUAAGGUAUUGUGGACUUUAUACGAGAGAGAAUGUUGGCAUGAGUAGCGCGAGGCAGGUGAGAAUCCUGCCCACCGAAAAUCUAAGGUUUCCUGAGGAAGGUUCGUCCACUCAGGGUUAGUCGGGGCCUAAGCCGAGGGCGAAAGCCAUAGGCGAUGGAUAACAGGUAGAAAUUCCUGUACCACCGAAGGUUGUUUGAAUGAUGUGGGGACACAGGAGGAUAAGCUGAGCACGCCGUUGGUAGAGCGUGUCCAAGCGUCAAGGGAGUAUGAAUAGGCAAAUCCGUUCAUAUAUAUUCUGAGGCGUGAUGGGGUGGUCAAUAGACUGGAAGCAGCUGAUUUCACACUGUCAAGAAAAGCCGCUAAUUAGACCUAAGGUGCCCGUACCGCAAACCGACACAGGUAGAUGAGGAGAGAAUCCUAAGGUGAGCGAGAGAACUAUUGUUAAGGAACUCGGCAAAAUAACCCCGUAACUUCGGGAGAAGGGGUGCCUGCUUCGGCAGGCCGCAGUGAAAAGGCCCAGGCAACUGUUUACCAAAAACACAGGUCUCUGCAAAAGCGAAAGCUGAAGUAUAGGGGCUGACGCCUGCCCAGUGCUGGAAGGUUAAGGUGAAGUGUAAGGGUAACCGAAGCACAGAACUUAAGCCCCAGUAAACGGCGGCCGUAACUAUAACGGUCCUAAGGUAGCGAAAUUCCUUGUCAGGUAAGUUCUGACCCGCACGAAAGGCGUAACGAUCUGGGCACUGUCUCAACAAUAGACUCGGUGAAAUUGUAGUACCGGUAAAGAUGCCGGUUACCCGCAGCAGGACGGAAAGACCCCGUGGAGCUUUACUGUAACUUGAUAUUGAGUUUCGGUGUUAUGCGUACAGGAUAGGUGGGAGACUAUGAAUCUGGAGCGCCAGUUUCAGAGGAGUCACUGUUGGGAUACCACCCUUGUAGCAUUGGAAUUCUAACCCGGUAGCAUCAUCUGCUACGGGGACAGUGUCUGGUGGACAGUUUGACUGGGGCGGUCGCCUCCUAAAGAGUAACGGAGGCGCCCAAAGGUUCCCUCAGCGCGGACGGAAAUCGCGCAUAGAGUGCAAAGGCAGAAGGGAGCUUGACUGCGAGACCAACAAGUCGAGCAGGGACGAAAGUCGGGCUUAGUGAUCCGGUGGUACCGAGUGGAAGGGCCAUCGCUCAACGGAUAAAAGCUACCCCGGGGAUAACAGGCUUAUCUCCCCCAAGAGUUCACAUCGACGGGGAGGUUUGGCACCUCGAUGUCGGCUCGUCUCAUCCUGGGGCUGGAGUAGGUCCCAAGGGUUGGGCUGUUCGCCCAUUAAAGAGGUACGCGAGCUGGGUUCAGAACGUCGUGAGACAGUUCGGUCCCUAUCCGCUGUGGGCGUUGGAAAUUUGAGUGGAGCUGUUCCUAGUACGAGAGGACCGGAAUGGACAUACCUAUGGUGUACCGGUUGUUCUGCCAAGGGCAUAGCCGGGUAGCUAAGUAUGGAAAGGAUAAGCGCUGAAAGCAUCUAAGUGCGAAGCCAACCACAAGAUAAGAUUUCCUCCAGCAAUGGUAAGACCCGUGAGAGACUAUCACGUUGAUAGGUCGGAGGUGUAAGUGCAGUAAUGUAUUUAGCUGACCGAUACUAAUAGGUCGAACGCUUGACCAA
rnacentral:rRNA from 1 species